GGUGGUAAUGCCGGAUGCUCCAUCACACCGCAUGGUGUGUUGGGAAAGCCUUUGCGGCAUGGGAUGGGGUCGCGUCCUAUCAGCUUGAUGGCGGGGUAACGGCCCACCAUGGCUUCGACGGGUAGCCGGCCUGAGAGGGCGACCGGCCACAUUGGGACUGAGAUACGGCCCAGACUCCUACGGGAGGCAGCAGUGGGGAAUAUUGCACAAUGGGCGCAAGCCUGAUGCAGCGACGCCGCGUGAGGGAUGGAGGCCUUCGGGUUGUAAACCUCUUUUGUUAGGGAGCAAGGCAUUUUGUGUUGAGUGUACCUUUCGAAUAAGCACCGGCUAACUACGUGCCAGCAGCCGCGGUAAUACGUAGGGUGCAAGCGUUAUCCGGAAUUAUUGGGCGUAAAGGGCUCGUAGGCGGUUCGUCGCGUCCGGUGUGAAAGUCCAUCGCUUAACGGUGGAUCCGCGCCGGGUACGGGCGGGCUUGAGUGCGGUAGGGGAGACUGGAAUUCCCGGUGUAACGGUGGAAUGUGUAGAUAUCGGGAAGAACACCA
rnacentral:rRNA from 1 species